AACGAACGCUGGCGGCAGGCUUAACACAUGCAAGUCGAACGCUCGUAGCAAUACGGGAGUGGCGGACGGGUGAGUAACGCGUGGGAACGUGCCCUGAGGUACGGAAUAACUGCGGGAAACUGCAGCUAAUACCGUAUGAGCCCCUAACGGGGGAAAGAUUUAUCGCCUUGGGAGCGGCCCGCGUCGGAUUAGCUAGUUGGUGGGGUAACGGCCUACCAAGGCUUCGAUCCGUAGCUGGUCUGAGAGGACGAUCAGCCACACUGGGACUGAGACACGGCCCAGACUCCUACGGGAGGCAGCAGUGGGGAAUCUUGCGCAAUGGGGGCAACCCUGACGCAGCCAUGCCGCGUGAAUGAUGAAGGCCUUAGGGUUGUAAAGUUCUUUCGGCCGGGAAGAAAUCGCAUGGGUUAAUACCCUGUGCGGAUGACGGUACCGGCAUAAGAAGCACCGGCUAACUACGUGCCAGCAGCCGCGGUAAGGCACGACUGU
rnacentral:rRNA from 1 species